GGGUAAUAAAACCUAAAGGCAAAACAAAAGUAAAGAAAGCUUAGCUUUUUAAGGGAAGAUGGUUAAUUUUAGCCCGCACUCCCGGGGCGUUAAUUACUCAUUGCGAGUAAAGGCGCACCUAGAGCGUACAUGUUGGGUCCCGAAAGAUGGUGAACUAUACCUGACCAGGAUGAAGCCAGGGGAAACUCUGGUGGAGGUCCGUAGCGAUUCUGACGUGCAAAUCGAUCGUCAGAGUUAGGUAUAGGGGCGAAAGACUAAUCGAACCAUCUAGUAGCUGGUUCCCUCCGAAGUUUCCCUAGGAUAGCUGGUGCCGAUGAGAUCGAUCUCUCUGGUAAG
rnacentral:rRNA from 1 species